rnacentral:lncRNA from 1 species
GUGCAUUGUUGAAGCUCAGCACACAUCUAUUGUGUGUGUGUGUAUAUAUAUAUAGAGAGAGAGAGAGAUGGGAGAGAAGCGGUGGUGGUUGAGGAAGGUAGGGAUGAGGCCAUGGAAGAUUCGUGGUUUGAAACGGAAGGGAUUGGAUUUUCAGAUGAAGCUGGUAGACAAUGUGAUCUUCAGAGUACUGUACGUCGUUGAAGCCAUCGUUCUUGUCUCAACUCUCUGCUUCUUCUUCCUUUGCUGUGGCUGCCACUUUUGAUCUUUUCUUGUUCUCAAAUUCUUACUUCUUGCUCUGAUUCCUCUAUUCUUUUUUCUCUGUUAACUUUCUAGGCUCUGUUAGGAACAAAUGAAAAUUUUCUCUGUAAUUUACUUCGAAAUUCAUUUUUUCAGUUUAAUCAACCGAAUAAAAUUCUACUUAAAUCCAUGGAAAUUGUCUUGAUUGUGUAUACAUAUACGUAUAUGUAUAUAUACACAUAUAUAUAACUUAGAAGAUGUUGUAAUCCUGAGUUCGUGAUUAUUUUUAAGUAUAUAUGUGUGUAUAUAUACAUAUAUAUAUAUAUAACUUAGAAGAUGUUGUAUUACUGAGCUCGUGAUUAUUUUUGAAUUUAAUGAAUAAGAUUAGCAGAGGCCUUUUUCAGUUUCAUUCCAAAUGCAAUUAGGAUCAGAUGAUCUUGCCAUUCCUAAAACCCG